rnacentral:rRNA from 1 species
AUUGAACGCUGGCGGCAUGCCUUACACAUGCAAGUCGAACGGUAACGGGCCUUCGGGUGCCGACGAGUGGCGAACGGGUGAGUAAUGUAUCGGAACGUACCUUUCAGUGGGGGAUAACGUAGCGAAAGUUACGCUAAUACCGCAUAUUCUGUGAGCAGGAAAGCAGGGGAUCGCAAGACCUUGCGCUGAUUGAGCGGCCGAUAUCAGAUUAGCUAGUUGGUGAGGUAAAAGCUCACCAAGGCGACGAUCUGUAGCGGGUCUGAGAGGAUGACCCGCCACACUGGAACUGAGACACGGUCCAGACUCCUACGGGAGGCAGCAGUGGGGAAUUUUGGACAAUGGGGGCAACCCUGAUCCAGCCAUGCCGCGUGAGUGAAGAAGGCCUUCGGGUUGUAAAGCUCUUUCGGCCGGGAAGAAAUCGUAUCAGCUAAUACCUGGUGCGGAUGACGGUACCGGCAUAAGAAGCACCGGCUAACUACGUGCCAGCCGCCGCGGUAACAC